ACGAACGCUGGCGGCGUGCUUAACACAUGCAAGUCGAACGGAAAGGCCCUGCUUUUGUGGGGUGCUCGCGUGGCGAACGGGUGAGUAACACGUGAGUAACCUGCCCUUGACUUUGGGAUAACUUCAGGAAACUGGGGCUAAUACCGGAUAGGAGCUCCUGCUGCAUGGUGGGGGUUGGAAAGUUUCGGCGGUUGGGGAUGGACUCGCGGCUUAUCAGCUUGUUGGUGGGGUAGUGGCUUACCAAGGCUUUGACGGGUAGCCGGCCUGAGAGGGUGACCGGCCACAUUGGGACUGAGAUACGGCCCAGACUUCUACGGGAGGCAGCAGUGGGGAAUAUUGCACAAUGGGCGGAAGCCUGAUGCAGCAACGCCGCGUGCGGGAUGACGGCCUUCGGGUUGUAAACCGCUUUCGCCUGUGACGAAGCGUGAGUGACGGUAAUGGGUAAAGAAGCACCGGCUAACUACGUG
rnacentral:rRNA from 1 species